GUGUAGGGAUGGUGUGUGAGUGUGAGUGAGGAGGCAAUGAGGAGGGGUCUUUGUGUGCCUGGGGUGGGAAAUGAGUCUGUUUGUUCCCGUGGUGCCAUUCUGGAGCCAUUUUGUGGCUGUUUUUUUUGGGAGAUUAUUUUGGUGCCAUUUGGGAGCUGCUUUUAAGUCAUUUGUGGCUGUGCUGGGGUCAUUUUGGGGCUCUUUUAAAUUAUAUUCCAGACAAAACCUUCGUGCAGUGGGUGAGCAGUUGGCUGACGGGUUGGGCCCACGGGGUACAAUCAGUGGGGUUCCAUCUGGAACCAUCCCAGCUGGUGGCACUGCUCUGGGAGAGUUCUCCACAGCUCAGCGUCAACUUCAGAGUGAGGAGAUAAGGCAGUAAGUGUGUUAACACCGAGGAGAUUGGGUUGCAGGGAAAUUUGUAAUUGGACAUGCUGUUAUGUAAGGAGGUUUAUUCACGCUGCACCCAGAUACACCACUGCAAACAGAUGGAUUAAUGGAGAAAUUUAUCAGUUAUACAGAGAAAAAUAAUGUGAUCAAAUCAGAAUGAAUCUUCCCUUCCUUAGAGAUAGGAGAGCAAUUACAGCACAAUGGAGUCUGUGGAGAACAGAGAGGGGCCAUUGUAUGCACACAAUAGAGAGCAGAGAGAAAACUGCAAGGAGGAAAAAAAGCCACGGAGAAGGAGAUGGUGACUGAGAAAGAAACAGAAUAAAUGGCGUUAUCUGUGAUAAGGACAUGAUGUAAACGUGCAGCAUCACAGCAACAGCAGGGCCUUGGGGAGCGGAGCUGGGAUAGCUGUGGGCAGGGGCUGCACUUUCAGUUUCUUGAUCUUCAUAUGCUGCUCUUACACCCCAAUUAAAACCCUUUUGCUGCUGCUGAAAUCCAGUGUAACCAAUGGUUAGUGGUGGUGGCUCUUUGGCUGCUGCUUUGGGGCAGUGCUGGGGAUAUGUUGUCUGUUCAGGUGUGAGGAAUUUCUGACCUCUCCCUUUUCCCAGGCAGCCAGUUUUCUUCUAUGGCCCAGAAAUGGAUCCUAGAUGCUGAAACAAAAGCUCACAGGAAACGCAUGGGGAGCAGAAGCUGAAGCAUAUUGUGCUCCAAUACUGCUUUUUGUUCUAUCUGCUUUGUAGGUGGUGUUUAGGACACCAGAGUGCCCAGCACCCUUCCGCUUACAGCCUCACCCUGAUGUGAUGGGAUUCAGAUGAGUCGUCUUCAUCUGAUUAAUCUGAUUUCCUGGGGAAAAAGAAUAAAAAUCCAUUACAAUCCCAA